UACGUAGGGUGCGAGCGUUAAUCGGAAUUACUGGGCGUAAAGCGUGCGCAGGCGGUUCGUUGUGUCGGCGGUGAAAGCCCCGGGCUUAACCUGGGAAUGGCCGUUGAAACUGGCGAACUGGAGUGUGGCAGAGGGGGGUGGAAUUCCGCGUGUAGCAGUGAAAUGCGUAGAGAUGCGGAGGAACACCGAUGGCGAAGGCAAUCCCCUGGGCCUGCACUGACGCUCAUGCACGAAAGCGUGGGGAGCAAACAGG
rnacentral:rRNA from 1 species